CCAUGAGCAUUUCAAAAUGCUAACUUAUAUUUAUAUAUAUAUUUUUUUUUCCUAGAUUAUUAUGUACCCUCUAAACCAAGAUGUUCAAUUCAAAAAGAGAAAGGAACAGAAAAAGGAAGAAAGAAAAAAAAUACUGACUUCUUACUGAGAGGUUAUACAGCAUUUGAAAUUCAAAAGGAAGGUGUUACCUGCUAUCUUGCAUAAAUCUCUAACAAUUGCAAAUGGAAUAUAUUAUCGUCAGAUCCGAUUGCUUAUAUCCAAUCUUGCCUAGUCUCAGCAUUUGUAAAGUGCACCCAAGUGCUUUGCUGGUGUACAGACAGACCCUAUUCCAAAAUUACCAAUAUCAUUCUCAAUGACCAGUUGAGCCCAUUUAGAGUGAAGGUAAGAUUUUUCAAGUAUCCGGAUUUGGUCCUUGUCCUUGAUUCCUGGGCAUAUGUGUCCAGUGGUUAAUCUAUCGAAAGUGCUGAGUUUGAUGGCUCUGAGCUCCCUGUGUUUUACCUGGCCAUUCUGUGGCCUGAGUAUCUUACCUGUUUUCUCCUCUACAGACAGAAAACACAGGAUUCAAAGCAAAAACAGGUUUCUUCAUCCCUUUCUUUCACUUGGCUGGUUCACUACAUAGGGAAGGAAAAACAAAGUGUUUUGUCCCCUAUUACACUCUCAUUCAAUACAACAUGGGCACUUCUGGCACCAGAGGUCUGUUUCAUUUGUUUUCUUCCCCGCACAUCAGUUCUCCAGCAGGUAUCAACUGGAUGUCCUAAGAUGAAGUUCACUUCUGACACGAAUCAGAGUCAGUGUAGACCCCACAGCUUCAGGACUCAGUCUCACAAGAUUGCCUUCCUCUUUGGAUGCUGAUCUCAGGUCCCAGGUUGUGACCGGUGCUUCUCAUCAACUGGCUAUAAAUUGAGUUCACAGAAUGGCUGGGUGGAUGAACUCAAGCUAUCAGAACCAGCGAUCAGCCAUAGUGUGGACACUGGAUAUGAUCCCUCCCUGUGCAGUGAGUGCUCCUGCUCCUACUGUGUGUCUCCAUGUUACCUCAGACGGCAUCUGCAUCCUGGUGAAGGCCAAGCAGGUAUUCCUUGAUGCUUCUACCACCCAGCCGGUGAAGGACAGAACAGCCACAAAAGGUACAAAGAAACUAGUUUGGGGCUCUCUUUUUAUUCUCAGAAAGCACAUAAGUGUCUUUGGAAAACCUCCUCAUCUUCCUAGAACUGAUCCAACUCCAAUAUAUUUAUUGCCAAUGAAACAAAGAGUAUCAAUA